rnacentral:tRNA from 1 species
GGGUAUAGCUCAGUGGUAGAGCAUAUGCUUAGUAUGCACGAGGUCCUGGGUUCAAUCCCCAGUAUCUCCA